rnacentral:tRNA from 1 species
GCGUCGCUAGCUCAACUGGCAGAGCAGCUGGCUCUUAACCAGCGGGUUCGGGGUUCGAGUCCCUGGCGGCGCACCA